UUGACUUCUUGGCCUUUUGGCUGGGAUCAGGUGGAUUAUCUGUUCUUAUCAAUUUAGAAUGUGAUAUGAUAUGUCCUCUGUCCAAGGACAAAAAUAUUAAAUGGAUUUUUGGAGCAGAAAGAUAGGAUGAAGCAUGUGCAUUCCACUCAUCGGGUCUGCUGGUGCGAUUUCUCCUGAAAUGGUCCACACCCC
ensembl:snRNA LOC120097267 U2 spliceosomal RNA